CCUGCAUCUGCGCAAUCGGUAUAGUCUGUGCAUCUGUUUAACGCUAUGUGGGCACUGAAGGGGACACGUGAGUCAUUUUGGUCAUUGGAAGCUGCCGUCUCUCCCGGCCCGAGCAAGCAGCUCCUCGGCAGCAGCUCGACUCAGGUCCCGGUGAUACCACAUCGGCGGUGCGGGCCCCAACGGAGAAACCCCACCACCACCUCCACCACCCCCGGCCAUGACCACAGCCCUUCAAACCGGGUUUAACUCAAGCUGCUUCCAGACUUCUCCGAAAACCUCCCAGCCCUCCUCCUCCAGACUACAGAAAUAAUCCAGUGAGUCGAGAGCCGAAAGACAAAGUAACUCGGCGUAAACGUUAUUCCGACGGAGGCUAGGAGGCGCGAGAGAACCGACGACGGGGCUACAAGUUUUACAUUUGUUAAAUUACGCUGCUUGUGGCAGUUUCCUCAGUUCCUGAAAGGCUCGUCACCCUCCUCUUUCGCUUCCCAGUCCCACGGAAAUCAGGGUAUGUAAAUCCACUCCGGAGACCGGGGAGCAACAGCGGGGAAGACCCGCGUCAAAGGCCGAGUGUCGCUAUAUACGACUUCCUGCUGGGAGUUUCAAAAUAAAACAGGCUGAUGAUAAAUUCA